GACGAACGCUGGCGGCGUGCCUAAUACAUGCCAGUCGAGCGAAGUUUUUCUGGUGCUUGCACCGGAAAAACUUAGCGGCGAACGGGUGAGUAACACGUAAAGAACCUGCCUCAUAGACUGGGACAACUAUUGGAAACGAUAGCUAAUACCGGAUAACAGCAUUAACUGCAUGGUUGAUGUUUAAAAGUUGGUUUUGCUAACACUAUGAGAUGGCUUUGCGGUGCAUUAGCUAGUUGGUGGGGUAAAGGCCUACCAAGGCGACGAUGCAUAGCCGACCUGAGAGGGUGAUCGGCCACACUGGGACUGAGACACGGCCCAGACUCCUACGGGAGGCAGCAGUAGGGAAUCUUCCGCAAUGGGCGAAAGCCUGACGGAGCAACGCCGCGUGAGUGAAGAAGGAUUUCGGUUCGUAAAGCUCUGUUGUUAGGGAAGUAUGAUUGUGUAGUAACUAUACACAGUAGAGACGGUACCUAACCAGAAAGCCACGGCUAACUACGUG
rnacentral:rRNA from 1 species